UUUAAACGAAUCAGAGAGUACAAUCAAUUAUGGCUUAGCGGCUGGGCAAGAAGUUGUGCUUUGAUAAUUCAACUGACAAACAAGUGAUCCGUUUGAAAUACUUCAAUCUCAAAUACAUUCAAUUUUUCGUAUAAAUAGAACCCAAUUGUUGCAUCAAUUACUUCAUCCUCAAAUUAAAAUAACUAAGCUUUGAAGAAGAAAAAAAAAUGAUGGGUUCUAAGGAAUUUCUAUUUCUUGGCCUUCUUUUGGCUAUUUUUGCGAUGAUAAGCUCAGAGAUAGUAGCGAGGGAGUUGACUGAGAACGCAAAGGACUUGGAUAACAAGAAUGUUGUACAAUACUCAUGUGGCGUAAACUUUGAUAG